GACGAACGCUGGCGGCAUGCCUAACACAUGCAAGUCGAACGGAACUUGAUGAAUGAAGUUUUCGGAUGGAUUUUAGCAAGUUUAGUGGCGGACGGGUGAGUAACGCGUGAGCAACCUGCCUUUCAGAGGGGGACAACAGUUGGAAACGACUGCUAAUACCGCAUAAUGUAUCGGGAUCGCAUGAUCCUGAUACCAAAGAUUUUAUCGCUGAAAGAUGGGCUCGCGUACGAUUAGAUAGUUGGUGAGGUAACGGCUCACCAAGUCGACGAUCGUUAGCCGGACUGAGAGGUUGAACGGCCACAUUGGGACUGAGACACGGCCCAGACUCCUACGGGAGGCAGCAGUGAGGAAUAUUGGGCAAUGGGCGCAAGCCUGACCCAGCAAUGCCGCGUGAAGGAAGACGGUUUUCGGAUUGUAAACUUCUUUUAAGAGGGACGAUAAUGACGGUACCUCUUGAAUAAGCCACGGCUAACUACGUGCCAGCAGCCGCCGCCGUAA
rnacentral:rRNA from 1 species